rnacentral:tRNA from 1 species
GGCUAUAGCUCAGUGGUAGAGCACUUGCCUAGCACGUGUGAGGCACUGGGUUCAAUCCUCAGCACCA